rnacentral:rRNA from 1 species
GGUGGGUAGGUUGAGUAUACUAAGGGGCGCGAGAUAACUCUCUCUAAGGAACUCGGCAAAAUGGCCCCGUAACUUCGGGAGAAGGGGUGCCAUCGCAAGAUGGCCGCAGUGAAAUGAUCCAAGCGACUGUUUACCAAAAACACAGGUCUCUGCAAAGUCGAAAGACGACGUAUAGGGGCUGACGCCUGCCCAGUGCCGGAAGGUUAAGGAAGUUGGUCAGCGAAAGUGAAGCUAACGACUGAAGCCCCGGUGAACGGCGGCCGUAACUAUAACGGUCCUAAGGUAGCGAAAUUCCUUGUCGGGUAAGUUCCGACCCGCACGAAAGGCGUAACGAUUUGGAUGCUGUCUCGGAGAGAGACUCGGCGAAAUAGGAUUGUCUGUGAAGAUACGGACUACUUGCACCCGGACAGAAAGACCCUAUGAAGCUUUACUAUAACUUGGAAUUGGGUUCGGGCUUCUCUU